UACAGAGGGUGCGAGCGUUAAUCGGAAUUACUGGGCGUAAAGCGCACGUAGGUGGCUUUGCAAGUCGAUUGUGAAAGCCCCGGGCUUAACCUGGGAAUGGCAUUUGGGACUGCAAGGCUGGAGUACGGCAGAGGGAGGUGGAAUUCCAGGUGUAGCAGUGAAAUGCGUAGAUAUCUGGAGGAACACCGAUGGCGAAGGCAGCCUCCUGGGCUAGUACUGACGCUCAUGCACGAAAGCGUGGGGAGCAAACAGG
rnacentral:rRNA from 1 species